UUUAUGAAUUUAUCUUAACUAUCUUUCUUACUCUGGUACUUUCACUUUGAGGAAAUUAGAGGUUUCAAGCAGCUUGCGCUUGUAUAUUUUAGCAUGGAAUAAUAAUUUAGGACUUCGGUUCUAUUUUGUUGGUUCUAGAACUUGAAGAAUGAUUAAUAGGGACAGUCGGGGGCAUUCGUACUCAACAGUCAGAGGGAAAAUUCUUGGAUUUGUUGGAGACGAACUACUGCGAAAGCAUUUGCCAAGGAUGUUUUCAUUGAUCAAGAACGAAAGUUAGGGGAUCGAAGACGAUUAGAUACCGUCCUAGUCUUAACCAUAAACGAUGCCGACUAGCGAUGGGAGGUUGUUCAAUGACAUCUCCAGCAGCUCGUGAGAGAUCAAAGUCUUUGGGUUCCGGGGGGAGUAUGGUCGCAAGGCUGAAACUUAAAGGGAUUGACGGAAGGGCACCACCAGGAGGGGAGCCUGCGGUUUAAUUUGACUCAACACGGGAAACCUCACCAGGUCAAGGCAUGGGAAGGAUUGACAGAUUGAUAGCUCUUUCUUGAUUCUAUUGGUGGGGGUGCAUGGCCGGUCUUAGUGGGGGGAGGGAUUUGUCUGGUUAAUUCGGUUACCGGACGAGACCUUAGCCUGCUAAUUAGUUGUAGCUAACUUCGGGUAGGAGACAGCUUCUUAGAAGGGAAUUCGUGUGUUUAACACGAGGAAGUUUGGAGGCAAAUAACAGGGCCUGUGAUGGCCCUUAGAUGGUCCUGGCCUGCACCCGCCCCUACACUGGACACGGCCGGCAAGUUUGUUCUGGGCCCGAAAGAUUGGGAUAACCUUA
rnacentral:rRNA from 1 species